GCUCAACUUGGAGAGAGUGUUGCCAUUCAUUCAUUCAUCUAUCCCAUGGAAGGGCAAAAGAAUACUCUGAGCAUGAAUGCCACUGAAAUAUUAAGGAGAGCUUUUGAAUACAUUAAGCUCAUUUAAGACCCUACUUCUACAACAAGACUGAAAGAAGCCAAUAAAGAGGGUUUGGCCAUACAGAUAAAAUCCCUGGAGAUUAUAUAUGAAACAACCACAAGAAGACAGAAAGGUGAAAAGAAAAAGGCAGACAAGAUAGAGACCUCAGGACCAAGGAAUGGCAUUGUGCCAAGAGGAAAUAGUCUCCAAUCAAUAACUUAAACUCCCACCUCAAGAAACAAGAAAAAGAAGAGCAAAAUAAAUCCAAAGCAAGCAUAAGGAUGGAAAUAAUAAAGGUAAGAGCAGAAGUCAAUAGGGUUGACAAGAGAAAAACAAUACAGAAAAUCAAUAAACAAAAAUUUAUUCUUCGAAAACUUUGAAAACUCUUCAUAGAAAAAGAAACUCUACUGUAAUCAAUGUUGAAAAUAUAAAACUUUGGUGGGGGGGGAAUAUCUGCAACACCUAUUACAAAGACUAAGUUUCUUAACAUAUGGAAAGUUCCUAGCAGUCAAUAAGAAAAAUGACCAACAGCCUAUUCAAAAAAUGGGCAAAAGAAAAUGAGCAACAGUUCACAGAACACUGAACAUGUCUUUACAUACUCCAAAUGUUAAGAUUAAGAGGUUUGAUAAUAUAUUAAUU
rnacentral:lncRNA from 10 species